GUAGGUGAACCUGCGGAAGGAUCAUUAUCACGUAUCCACGUAUAAACCAUUGUGAACUGUUUUCUAGCCUUUGUCGAGAGUGAGGUAGUGGGUUUUCAAACAUAUGAACUCUUUACUUGUGAUUUGUAGUUCGUUUGGAAACUCCAAUGCCAAAGCAAUUUGGUGUACUCGUUCACUUCAAAGUGUAUUUUUCUAAAUCACACUAUUGUAUUAACAACUUAAACCCUGUUUAAUGAACUUUGACUGAUUUUUUGUUACUCUUAACGGAGAACAAAUUCAUUACGAAACAUAAGAACAACUCUUAGCAACGGAUAUCUUGGUUCUC
rnacentral:misc_RNA from 1 species